rnacentral:rRNA from 1 species
AUGAACGCUAGCGGCAGGCCUAACACAUGCAAGUCGAGGGGCAGCACAGGUAGCAAUACUGGGUGGCGACCGGCGGAUGGGUGCGUAACGCGUAUGCAACCUACCAUUGAUUGGGGCAUAGCCCGAAGAAAUUCGGAUUAAUACUCCAUAAUAUUCAUCAAAGGCAUCUUUUAUGAAUUAAAGCUUUUGCGAUCAAUGAUGGGCAUGCGUGACAUUAGUUAGUUGGUGAGGUAACGGCUCACCAAAACGAUGAUGUCUAGGGGUUCUGAGAGGAUUAUCCCCCACACUGGUACUGAGACACGGACCAGACUCCUACGGGAGGCAGCAGUGAGGAAUAUUGGUCAAUGGGCGCAAGCCUGAACCAGCCAUCCCGCGUGCAGGAAGACGGCCCUAUGGGUUGUAAACUGCUUUUCCAGGGAGAGAAACUUACGCACGUGUUGCGUGACUGACGGUACCCUGGGAAUAAGCAUCGGCUAACUCCGUG